UACAGAGGGGGCGAGCGUUAUUCGGAAUUAUUGGGCGUAAAGGGCGCGUAGGCGGCCUUCUAAGUCGAACGUGAAAUCCCCGGGCUCAACCCGGGAACUGCGUCCGAUACUGGCAGGCUUGAAUCCGGGAGAGGGAUGUGGAAUUCCAGGUGUAGCGGUGAAAUGCGUAGAUAUCUGGAGGAACACCGGUGGCGAAGGCGGCAUCCUGGACCGGUAUUGACGCUGAUGCGCGAAAGCCAGGGGAGCAAACGGG
rnacentral:rRNA from 1 species